CUCCCCUUCCCCCCGCCGCGUGUCUGCCCGGGACGUUCAUUCCCUCUUCCCACAGCUCCGCCGCCUCCCCCGGCCCCCCGCUGCCGAGGCCGGGGAGGGGGGCGGGAGGCUGAAGCCGCGGGAGAAGGGGGAAGUGUGCGAGAGAAGGCGGGGAGCGCGGGCGGCGGCGGGCAGAAGGAAACUCGAUUGGAUUUAACUUGGGGUCGGAAGAAACUCCUGCCUCCUGGAUCUGGUUUCGGCGCCCCGACACCUAAGCUGCUCAUUGUGUUUCUCACCGUCUCGCCUGAACGUGUGAACCGAGGCGCUGGUUUCAUGGAGGCCGGGAAAGAGUGUGAGACCGAAAGUUUUUAAUCUCAUCGGACACAGAAGUUUCUUUGUUCGGUCCGAGAAGGCACUGAGCUGAAACUGCUCGACUGCGUAACUGCUUCUUCAGCUCCCUCCCUUGCAAAACGUUUGGUAACCCUGCGAGUACAAUUAAGUUAUCGGGAAAUGAGAAAGUCAUGAAGGAGGUAAUAUUUCUUUUUAAUCGAAA
rnacentral:lncRNA from 1 species